rnacentral:lncRNA from 1 species
GGGUUUCUCUGUGUAGCUUUGGAGCCUAUCCUGGCACUCGAGCUGGAGACCAGGCUGGCCUUGGAUAUUGCAGAACUUUAAUCCGGCAUUUGGGGAAGCAGAGGCAGAAACAGUAACUCAAGAGCACAUGGACCCUGGGAGCUAAAGAUCCCAUUGGUAAAAGCAUGUUCCACAGCUGAACCCAAAGACCGGGUGAAAAUGUUCACUGCCUUUCGUGGGAAGAAGGUUAAAGUUACAACGGCUUCCUCUGCUCAUAACACUACCAAAGAAUGAUGGAAGGAAAAUAGUGAAUUUGCUGGCAUCAGUAAGAUGGGUAGCUCUUGCUACCCUACUGAAUUAUCCAUGUAAGCAAUCUUCAUAUCUAUUUAUACAUCACUGGGAGUCCUCUUAUUAUAUGUCCUCGGGGAAAUAUCUUGGGGAGAGCUAGUCUUUGGAACCAUUCUUAUUUGAAAAAUUGCUACAAAUCCUGCACUAGCAGAUUCAAUCAUUUGUUUUUAGAAACAAUGAGGUCUAAUUCUUAAUGGCAUAUGUUCUCUCUGUUGUACUUGCUAACAUCUAUUUUUAGCCGAUCAUGGGCAAUGAAAAUGUUUUUGGUUAAGGAAAUGGUAUCAGUAACAAUGUGAGAUUUAAAGUUCUGCCUAACUAAGUAGUUCUGGAUAUGAUUAAAGAUUUUAAGUUAUGUAAGUAUGAUAUUACUUACUGG